rnacentral:rRNA from 1 species
GAUGAACGCUGGCGGCGUGCUUAACACAUGCAAGUCGAACGAAACACCUUAUUUGAUUUUCUUCGGAACUGAAGAUGUGGUGAAUGAGUGGCGGACGGGUGAGUAAAGCGUGGGUAACCGGCGCUGUACAGGGGGAUACAGUCAGAAAUGACUGCUAAUACCGCAUAAGACCACAGCACCGCAUGGAGCAGGGGUAAAAACUCCGGUGGUACAGGAUGGACCCGCGUCUGAUUAGCUGGUUGGUGAGGUAACGGCUCACCAAGGCGACGAUCAGUAGCCGGCUUGAGAGGGUGAACAGCCACAUUGGGACUGAGACACGGCCCAGACUCCUACGGGAGGCAGCAGUGGGGAAUAUUGCACAAUGGGCGAAACCCUGAUGCAGCGACGCCGCGUGAGUGAAGAAGUAUUUCGGUAUGUAAAGCUCUAUCAGCAGGGAAGAAAAUGACGGUACCUGGCUAAGAAGCCCCGGCUAACUACGUG